rnacentral:rRNA from 1 species
CCUACGGGAGGCAGCAGUGGGGAAUCUUGCGCAAUGGGCGAAAGCCUGACGCAGCCAUGCCGCGUGAAUGAUGAAGGUCUUAGGAUUGUAAAAUUCUUUCACCGGGGACGAUAAUGACGGUACCCGGAGAAGAAGCCCCGGCUAACUUCGUGCCAGCAGCCGCGGUAAUACGAAGGGGGCUAGCGUUGCUCGGAAUUACUGGGCGUAAAGGGAGCGUAGGCGGAUAGUUUAGUCAGAGGUGAAAGCCCAGGGCUCAACCUUGGAAUUGCCUUUGAUACUGGCUAUCUUGAGUAUGGGAGAGGUUAGCGGAACUCCGAGUGUAGAGGUGAAAUUCGUAGAUAUUCGGAAGAACACCAGUGGCGAAGGCGGCUAACUGGCCCAUUACUGACGCUGAGGCUCGAAAGCGUGGGGAGCAAACAGGAUUAGAUACCCUGGUAGUCCACGCCGUAAACGAUGAGUGCUAGUUGUCGGCAUGCAUGCAUGUCGGUGACGCAGCUACGCAUAAGACACUCCGCCGUCGGGAGGUACGGUCGCGAGAAUUAAACUACGAAGGAAGUUAGUACGGCGUGAGACGUGCCGACGGACGACGACGAGGGAGGUUAGG